rnacentral:rRNA from 1 species
UACGUAGGGUGCAAGCGUUAAUCGGAAUUACUGGGCGUAAAGCGUGCGCAGGCGGUGAUGUAAGACAGGUGUGAAAUCCCCGGGCUUAACCUGGGAACUGCAUUUGUGACUGGCGAGCUAGAGUAUGGCAGAGGGGGGUAGAAUUCCACGUGUAGCAGUGAAAUGCGUAGAGAUGUGGAGGAAUACCGAUGGCGAAGGCAGCCCCCUGGGCCAGUACUGACGCUCAUGCACGAAAGCGUGGGGAGCAAACAGG